UACGAAGGGGGCUAGCGUUGCUCGGAAUCACUGGGCGUAAAGGGUGCGUAGGCGGGUCUUUAAGUCAGGGGGGAAAUCCUGGAGCUCAACUCCAGAACUGCCUUUGGUACUGAAGAUCUUGAGUUCGGGAGAGGUGAGUGGAACUGCGAGUGUAGAGGUGAAAUUCGUAGAUAUUCGCAAGAACACCAGUGGCGAAGGCGGCUCACUGGCCCGAUACUGACGCUGAGGCACGAAAGCGUGGGGAGCAAACAGG
rnacentral:rRNA from 1 species